UUGAUCUAAAUUAUUCAAGAAAAAACUGAAUUUACAAAUGUCAUUAAACUAGAAAAAGGUGCUCAUCAAGAAGUCUAAGCUGACUAUUUCUGUACAUCAUCUGUGUAAUCUAGAUUGGUGGAGGCAAGAACAAGAGGGGAGUUGUGGAAGCUAAACUGAAAGUGGCCAUCAAUGGAUUUGGGAGAAUUGGAAGGAACUUCUUGAGGUGCUGGCAUGGCAGGAAGGACUCUCCUCUUGAUGUAGUAGUCAUCAACGACACCGGAGGUGUGAAGCAAGCCUCUCACCUUCUCAAGUAUGACUCUACUCUUGGAAUCUUUGAGGCUGAUGUCAAGCCUGCUGAUGAAGGCAUAUCUGUCGAUGGGAAGGUCAUUAAAGUUGUAACAAACCGUAAUCCUGUCAAUCUCCCCUGGGGGUAAAUCACUACACAUGAACUAUGGGGAAACUAAUUUAGACUCUUUAUAUCGAUGAAUCAAAUGCGUUAACUGCUAUAAAUUCUUCUUUUGCACAUUGAUCCAAU
rnacentral:lncRNA from 1 species